GCCUUCAUAGUGUAACAGGAAGCAUACUCGACGCGUAUUCGAGAGGUCCAGGGUUCGAGUCCCGGCGAAGCCA
rnacentral:tRNA from 1 species